CAGUCGCCACGGGAAUACGUAGGGUGCGAGCGUUAAUCGGAAUUACUGGGCGUAAAGCGUGCGCAGGCGGUUGUGUAAGACAGGUGUGAAAUCCCCGGGCUUAACCUGGGAACUGCGCUUGUGACUGCACAGCUAGAGUAUGGCAGAGGGGGGUGGAAUUCCACGUGUAGCAGUGAAAUGCGUAGAGAUGUGGAGGAACACCGAUGGCGAAGGCAGCCCCCUGGGCCAAUACUGACGCUCAUGCACGAAAGCGUGGGGAGCAAACAGGAUUAGAUACCCGCGUAGUCCCUGUCUCUUAUAA
rnacentral:rRNA from 1 species